AGGAAACUGUAGGGGGUUUUCUC
rnacentral:piRNA from 1 species